rnacentral:tRNA from 1 species
CGAAGUGUAACUUAAUGAAAGUAUCCCGCUUACACCGAGAAAUUAUUUGUGAAAAUCAAAUCACUUCGA